AUAAAUGAAUUUAUUGUAUCUGUAUUCGAAAGGCCGCAUGAAAUAUUAGUUUGCAAAAUAGCCGUGAAAUUCAAAUUUAUCAUGCCAGCCAGAAGCUUUUAGCGCAAUCAUUUUGCUAUUCAAAAACAAUAACUACAAUUUUUGUAGCUGAUUGAUGGCCUAACUGCCGCUGAAUGCCACUAAUCAAAGGCCACUAAUUUAACUAACGACCAGGCAAAAUAGAAAUAAAAUGCACUUUUUUCAUGCCACUUAGGAUGAGGCUUUGCGGCAAGUAAAAAAUAAUUCCUGAAUGCGGCAUUUAUGCAUAGCGGUUGAGUUAGGUCAGCACCGGAAAUUGGUUGAACUGCCACCACACUUAUUAUAUUUGCAUAUUGAAUUUCGCACUCGCACAAAAGCGCGACUAUUUGGUUGUUAAUUGAAAUGCGCGUAGGAUCACGUACGGCGGCGAAAUCGCGAACGAGCGGAAGUAUUUGGCCAGGAUAACGCACCGCCAGGAUAACCGCACAUACAGCCAGACGCGAUAGUACUGAAAGGCAGCGCCCGGAAGAAGGCAACGCCUGGCAUUCGAAGGCGCAACAGCAUCUGGAAUCCGCAGGACAGGGUUGUUGGCGGCGAAACGAGCAAGGACGACGAAGGACGACGACGAGGAACGACGAGUGUCCUUCGGUUGGAUGCUGUUCGUCUGUCCGCUCUCUUAUCACAGCCUGCAGAUUCAGCACGACUGCCGGUCGAAUUGAGGCCGCUUAGUCGUUCAGUAGGUCAGCAACACAGCUGCGUCCCACAAGCACAGGCGCGUCCGGAAUAUUGGGCAGGGCUCAGUUCGCUGGUUACGGGAGGCAAUUUGCAGUUUGUUAUCCUUAUUCGGAAAUGAUCUAUUGAAAUAUCUUCCCAAUUAAAAGUAAACUAACUUAAUUAAUCAUA